GGAGAUUUAGCUCAGUGGUAGAGCGCUUGCCUAGGAAGCGCAAGGCCCUGGGUUCGGUCCCCAGCUCCA
rfam:Rattus norvegicus chromosome 20, whole genome shotgun sequence.